GCGUACUCCAACUCAGAAGGUGGCGGUAAUGCACAACCCAGUUUGCCAAGUGCCAAUUAACCAAAGAAAAGAAGAAGAAGAAGAAGACGAAGAAGAAGUCUCGAGAUCUGAUUGGUUAUCGUGACUGUCCGUUCGUGUACAGCGCACAGGAGCCUGUUUUUGUUGGUUCUGAACGCCUCAGAAAGAAUUCAAUGAUCCUGGCAACACAAGCCUGCUGAGAUAUGAUUAGAUAAAAACUUUACAAUAAUAUACAACACUGGAAGCGGCGAAAUCAAGCGGAAAUAAUGAGACGAAGAAAUACACCAUGGGGAAUUAUUCUAUCUACAAAAAACAACUUUUCACAGUAUGUUGGGUCAAGCAGAGAAGUUAGCUGCCCCUGGCAACCGUAGUGUCAGUAGUGAAGGACUUCCUCGCUGUCUUCAACGUCUGCGUCUCUCCUGCGUUUUCACGCACGUCCGUGCAUGUGCAUAAAUGCCAUGGAAACCGCUGACGCGGAAUGGGGCGUCAUUUGCCCCAGGGCCUUCUGAAGCUCUGGAGUUCGCUUCAAGCGUUGGAGAAACCGGAGGAUCCAGCCAGAGCAGCCGGUGGGCGAAGGUGGUCCAGAUGGGCCUAACCCCGUCCACGUCCAUCCUUCACCCACUCCUCAGCGAUAGAAGGUCAGCUCAGUCACAGUGGCACUGGGGACACAUGUCGUCUCCCACUGAAGCUCCUCGGCGGCAGAUGACUGCAGUGUCAUGUGUUAUGGAGGAGGCACAUGGCUGUCUGCAGUCCUCAUCCUGCUUCCACACUAAAGGGGGCAGUGACUGACGGCUUCUGACCAUUACGUCUGGUC
rnacentral:lncRNA from 1 species